rfam:Otolemur garnettii contig094926, whole genome shotgun sequence.
UAAAUGGAGUUCUUCAACUCCACUUUAUUUUUAAAAAACAGAAACA